rnacentral:rRNA from 1 species
AUUGAACGCUAGCGGGAUGCUUUACACAUGCAAGUCGAACGAGUGGCGGACGUGUGAGUACUAUAUCGGAACGUGCCCAGUAGCAGGGGAUAACUUCUCGAAAGAGUUGCUAAUACCGCAUACUAUUGUCACGGCCGAUAUCGGCUUAGCUAGUUGGUGGGGUAAAGGCCCACCAAGGCAACGAUCCGGAGCUGGUUGGAGAGGAUGACCAGCCACACUGGGACUGAGACACGGCCCAGACUCCUACGAGAGGCAGCAGUGGGGAAUGUUGGACAAUGGGGGAGACCCUGAUCCAGCCAUCGCGCGUGUAUGAGAAGGCCUUCGGGUGGUAAAGUACUUUUGGCAGAGAAGCGGUAUCUGCAGAAUAAGCACCGGCUAACUACGUGCCAGCAGCCGCGGUAAUUC